CGCGUCUGUCGUGAAAGUCCGGGGCUUAACCCCGGAUCUGCGGUGGGUACGGGCAGACUAGAGUGCGGUAGGGGAGACUGGAAUUCCUGGUGUAGCGGUGGAAUGCGCAGAUAUCAGGAGGAACACCGAUGGCGAAGGCAGGUCUCUGGGCCGUUACUGACGCUGAGGAGCGAAAGCAUGGGGAGCGAACAGGAUUAGAUACCCUGGUAGUCCAUGCCGUAAACGUU
rnacentral:rRNA from 1 species